rnacentral:rRNA from 1 species
GUGCACCAGGCGCGAAUCUUCCACAAUGGGGGAAACCCUGAUGGAGCGACGCCGCGUGCGGGAUGAAGGCCCUAUGGGUUGUAAACCGCUGUUCAGUGGAAAGAACAUCCUCCGGCUGAAUAGGUCGGAGGCCUGACGUUACCACUGCAGAAAGUCCCGGCCAACUCCGUGCCAGCAGCCGCGGUAAUACGGGGGGGACGAGCGUUGUCCGGAAUCAUUGGGCGUAAAGGGCGCGUAGGCGGCGAGGAAAGUCGAAUGUGAAAUCUUGCGGCUCAACUGCAAAAACUGCGUUCGAAACUUCCUCGCUUGAGUAUGAGAGAGGUGUGCGGAAUUCCUGGUGUAGCGGUGGAAUGCGUAGAUAUCAGGAGGAACACC